AGUGGCGGACGGGUGAGUAACGCGUGGGUAACCCGCCCCAUACCGGGGGAUACCAGCCGGAAACGGCUGCUAAUACCGCAUAAGCGCACAGCUUUGCAUGAAGCAGUGUGAAAAGCUCCGGUGGUAUGGGAUGGACCCGCGUCCGAUUAGCCAGUUGGCGGGGUAGAGGCCCACCAAAGCGACGAUCGGUAGCCGGCCUGAGAGGGCGGACGGCCACAUUGGGACUGAGACACGGUCCAA
rnacentral:rRNA from 1 species